rnacentral:antisense_RNA from 1 species
GCUCCAGAACUCAAUUGGAGAAGAGGGGCAAAGGGGGCAAAGGCAGCACGAUUUAUUUUCUUGUACAUGCCAGGGAAGGCCUUUAAUUUUGUCUUCAUGUUCUACACAUAGAAAAGAGAAGAUCCAGGCCAGGCACGGUAGCUCACGCCUGUAAUCAUAACACUCUGGGAGGCUGAGGUGGGCAGAUCACCUAAAGUCAGGGGUUCGAGACCAGCCUGGCCAACAUGGCAAAACCCCAUCUCUAGUAAAAAUACUAAAAUUAACUGGGCAUGGUGGCAGGUGCCAGUAAUCCCAGCUACUCGGGGCACUCCAGCCUGGGCAACAGAGUGAGACUCCAUCUCAAAAAAAAGAAAAGAAAAGAAAAGAGAAGAUCCAGAAACAAUGAGCCCUCUAUUUCCCUAGAUAACUAGGAAGAGAAUAGCAGCCACUCACUUUAGACAGGACUGUUCACCACUGACAAUUUUUCUCCUACGCUGGGGACAAAUGUCUUACCAUUUAUCAUCACACUUGCAAUGUCAUUUUAUUAAAAAUGGAAAAAAAGAUACAUCU